GACGAACGCUGGCGGCGUGCUUAACACAUGCAAGUCGAACGGAAAGGCCCUGCUUUUGUGGGGUGCUCGAGUGGCGAACGGGUGAGUAACACGUGAGUAACCUGCCCUUGACUUUGGGAUAACUUCAGGAAACUGGGGCUAAUACCGGAUAGGAGCUCCUGCUGCAUGGUGGGGGUUGGAAAGUUUCGGCGGUUGGGGAUGGACUCGCGGCUUAUCAGCUUGUUGGUGGGGUAGUGGCUUACCAAGGCGUUGACGGGUAGCCGGCCUGAGAGGGUGACCGGCCACAUUGGGACUAAGAUACGGCGCAGACUCCUACGGGAGGCAGCAGUGGGGAAUAUUGGACAAUGGGCGGAAGCCUGAUGCAGCAACGACGCGUGCGGGAUGACGGCCUUCGGGUUGUAACCCGCUUUCGCCUGUGACGAAGCGUGAGUGACGGUAAUGGGUAAAGAAGCACCGGCUAACUACGUG
rnacentral:rRNA from 1 species